GGCCAGUGAUGAUAAAAGUUUAGGCUUGUUUCUCAAAACAUUCGCAGUGGCCGAGCAAGAGCUUUCGCCCUUGCCUGGGCUGGAGAGCUAGUGCUAUCAAAUUCUUCCUUGGAUGUCUCAGCCC